rnacentral:lncRNA from 1 species
CCGGCCAUCUUUUGGAUAUACACAAAAAGCAGCGAAUCCAGUAAGCGGAAAAGAUAAGGAUCAACCAUCGUAUAAUUGCGGGAUAUCAGCAUGACAGUAGUAGCCGGAGACGAUGGGUUAAGCUGAGACCAUUCGCGCAGUAAAUUUUUGAAGUCGUUCCCACCGCAGGGAGCGUGGAUAAGAACGAAUCCAGAGGAAGCUAUCUCUUCUAAGAGGGCACUAGAGAUGUAUUCUAGGUUGCCCAUGGCAUAGAUGAUGACUUUAGAACGAUGACCCAUCUGCUUGUGCACCGCUGAUUCUAUGCACCCACGCACACGACGAGGGUCAAAACCAUCCGGAACCGGACACGUGUUGAGGUCCCACCAACGAUUAUUAUAUCUCAGCCGCAACGAAUUUGGGAUCGGUUUAGGGUUUCCUGCCAACGAUUAUUAUAUCGACGUUUUUUUUUUUUUUUUUUUUGACGUUCUUUAUCUUUUGUUAAUGUGUUUGACUGUAAAAAUUAGGUAUUAUAAUAUAAUGUAUUUGUUGUGAACAAUUGGGGAAAUCGUGUAUAUUACUUGAAUCAAAGUGUUCCCUUUAUAUAGAGAUUACAAGAUAAGGAUAAAAGGAAAUACUACAAAUCCUAACCUAAAAAGAAAUAGGAAAUAUCUUUAAAGAUAAACAUGAAAGGGAAAAGAAAAACUUCUAAUCCUAUAGUCAGCUACUCUUUGGCCGCCUCUCUCUCCUAUGCGGACGCGGUCUUGGUCUUGGGCCGGACGCGAUCCGUUCUUUCUUUGGCUUGGUUACUAGUAAUCCACAUUAUUCAUAACAUUCCCCCUUGGAUGCUAUAACCAUAUGGGCUUGUAUCAUACACGAUGUUGUCUCGUUAAAACCUCUUUAGGAAAACCAAAAACCCAAGGUGGGA